rnacentral:rRNA from 1 species
AGAAAGCCGGGCGGGCAUGCUUUACACAGGCAAGUCGAACGGCAGCACGGGAGCUUGCUCCUGGUGGCGAGUGGCGAACGGGUGAGUAAUAUAUCGGAACGUGUCCAAUAAUGGGGGAUAACUAGUCGAAAGAUUAGCUAAUACCGCAUACGCCCUGAGGGGGAAAGUGGGGGAUCUUCGGACCUCACGUUGAUGGAGCGGCCGAUAUCUGAUUAGCUAGUUGGUGGGGUAAAGGCCCACCAAGGCGACGAUCAGUAGCUGGUCUGAGAGGACGACCAGCCACACUGGGACUGAGACACGGCCCAGACUCCUACGGGAGGCAGCAGUGGGGAAUUUUGGACAAUGGGGGCAACCCUGAUCCAGCCAUGCCGCGUGAGUGAAGAAGGCCUUCGGGUUGUAAAGCUCUUUCGCAAGGGAAGAAACGAUUUAGACGAAUAAUCUAAGUUAAUGACGGUACCUUGAUAAGAAGCACCGGCUAACUACGUGCCAGCAGCCGCGGUAAUACGUAGGGUGCGAGCGUUAAUCGGAAUUACUGGGCGUAAAGCGAGCGCAGGCGGUUCUGUAAGUCAGAUGUGAAAUCCCCGGGCUCAACCUGGGAACUGCGUUUGAAACUACAGGGCUAGAGUAUGGGAGAGGGGGGUAGAAUUCCACGUGUAGCAGCGAAAUGCGUAGAGAUGUGGAGGAAUACCAAUGGCGAAGGCAGCCCCCUGGCCUAAUACUGACGCUCAUGCUCGAAAGCGUGGGGAGCAAACAGGAUUAGAUACCCUGUA